GAUAACCUUGGGAAACUGAGGAUAAUACUGGAUAGGCAAUUUUUCCUGCAAUGGUUUUUUGUUUAAAUGUUUUUUCGCUUAAGGAUGGGUCUGCGGCCGAUUAGGUAGUUGGUUAGGUAAUGGCUUACCAAGCCGUUGAUCGGUACGGGUUGUGAGAGCAAGAGCCCGGAGAUGGAACCUGAGACAAGGUUCCAGGCCCUACGGGGUGCAGCAGGCGCGAAACCUCCGCAAUGUGAGAAAUCGCGACGGGGGGAUCCCAAGUGCCAUUCUUAACGGGAUGGCUUUUCAUUAGUGUAAAGAGCUUUUGGAAUAAGGGCUGGGCAAGACCGGUGCCAGCCGCCGCGGUAACACCGGCAGCUCUAGUGGUAGCAGUUUUUAUUGGGCCUAAAGCGUCCGUAGCCGGUUUAAUAAGUCUCUGGUGAAAUCCUGUAGCUUAACUGUGGGAAUUGCUGGAGAUACUAUUAGACUUGAGACCGGGAGAGGUUAGAGGUACUCCCAGGGUAGAGGUGAAAUUCUGUAAUCCUGGGAGGACCGCCUGUUGCGAAGGCGUCUAACUGGAACGGUUCUGACGGUGAGGGACGAAAGUUAGGGGCGCGAACCGGAUUAGAUACCCGGGUAGUCCUAACCGUAAACGAUGCGGACUUGGUGUUGGGGUGGCUUUGAGCUGCUCCAGUGCCGAAGGGAAGCUGUUAAGUCCGCCGCCUGGGAAGUACGG
rnacentral:rRNA from 1 species